rnacentral:sRNA from 1 species
CAUCCCACCCCCUUCAUCCCACCCCAAGACCCCAUCCCGUCACUAAUAUUUGGCUUUGCACAUGGCCAUAUAUCACCAAGCGUCGAAGUGCAGCGACCUCUUUGAUGAACUCGUUGCCCAUGAAAAUGGGCGUGUUGGUCUCUGCAGUGUAAUCCAGGAACGGUUUGAACGCUGGGCUUUCCACCAUGAUAUUUUCGCACCCAUAGUCUUAAGUCUCGAUGAGAAGCUCCGACAUCAUGCCGCAUCCUUCCAAAACUUUGUUGAGGCUCACCUGAUGUUCCUGUCAGACUGUAUAGCAAGACUGCUGAAUCGUAUCAACCGGACCAGCGAUGGCGGUACUCAUCCACAGACUGAAGUGAAUGAACAAGAACAGAAAUCUCUGAGGGACCUCAUCUCUGAGGAAGCCGAGGAAGUUAAAUGUGUAGUUAAGGGCGUCGAUGACCUUUACAGGCUAAAUUACUCGAUAACAUCAAGGUUAUCUCAGUGCAAGAUCAUCGAUAUGUUGGGAUUUGCUCACCAUCCUGAUUUCCUGACAUUCCAAGAAUUAUGCUGGGGUUCGGUCGUGAUACUGUAUCCAUAUAUUCACCGAGAACUAAGGGAUCGCCUAGGCGCGUCAAUGACUCGAAGGUAUGCUGCAACGUUCCGCCAGAAAUUUGCCCAACCGACGGUAGAGAGACUCCAAACGCAUCCCAACACGAUGACAGCUGAAGAUGGAGAACCCGAAGAAUCUAAUGAGGAUCGAGUGCCCAACAAAACUGAGAAGGCAAGAGGCAUUCAAGACUGGACCACCAUUUCUUCCCGAUCGGACUUCACUAGAGGUGGCUCCAAACAAGGCCAAGGAAUCUUGAAUGAUUCACCGAAGUUGGGCUCGAAAUUUCAGCAGACCUGGUCUGACCAAUUCCAUCAAGAGAAUUACCCCGAGCCUCCGAAAAGGAAUGCAGAUACCAUCACCUGUGAGUGGUGUUCGGCGGACCUUGCAGAAGAGAUUCUGAAACCAGGAUAUUGGAGACAACACGUCAAUGCAGACUUUAUGCCAUAUCCGUGCAUAGCAGAAGAAUGCACUGAGUCUCAUGCUCAGUUCGCUGAAUUUGCUGAUUGGUUUAAUCACAUGCAGAGCCAUGAAGAAAAUUGGCACAAAAAAAUUUACACAGUGACGUCCUGGACGUGUCCGGACUGCUUCCGCGACGGAGGAAAGUUCAUUAGUUCACAACACCUUCUCGUUCAUUUGCUCAAGUACCAUACCGAUGUCUAUCCUGUUGAAAUACUUAAAACAAUUUCUCGCUGCAGCUCUGAAGAACUGCCAAGAGCACAAGAUGAAUGCCUUUUAUGUGGUUACAAACUUGAGCAAACGGCCCCACCUAAACAUCUAUAUUCUGGAAAGCGUCGGAAAAGGCCGCCUCGUGA